rnacentral:lncRNA from 1 species
UAAACUCAUCUUUCUCUGUCUUUAGAGUAUCAGAAGACCAAAGUUUGACCCAAUCUUAUGGAAAGAUAUUUGUGAUUCUUCAUUGCUUUCCCUCAUGAUAUUCCUUUCCUCGUGUGCAGGGUACCCACUACUCACUCCCAAUCUGAUCUUCAAGUGGGAACAAGAGGAGGAACUGCAGGCAGUGAAGACAGAAAGUAUCCAGGGCAUCUGUAUGGAGCAGCACCAGGAAGGGUUUGAAUCUCUACUUAAUACGAAGGAAUUAGUUGCUCUUCAAGACAACAAUAGAGAAAAAAUAUCCAAUGAACAGAAAAUAGAGAGAUUCAAAGGAAAUGGUUCCUGCUCCUCUAUUUUAUAUGAAAACCAGGACUCCCAUGGUGUGGAUGAUUGGAACAAAAGCCAUGAGAAAGGAUUAAGGUGAGUGCCCUUCAUAUAAGAGAAGGUAGUGCAUCAGGAAGCAAUUUUGAGAUUUAAGAAACAUAUUUUGGGGCUGGGGUUGUAGCUCAGUGGCAGGCAGAGUGCUUGCCUCCCACAUGUGAGGACUGGGUUCAAUCCUCAGCAUCACAUAAAAAUGAAUAAAUGAAAUAAAGAUAUUGCAUCCAUCUAUACCUAAAAAAUAUUUCUUAAAAAGAAAUAUAUUUUCAACAUAAACCUAGGUCAAAAAUUAUGCUUUCAUAAGAAUGAAAUCAUGACAUUUGCCAGUAAAUGGAUGAAGCUGGUGCAAGGAACCAAAGGCCAAGUGUUUUCUUUAAUAGUUGGAUGCUAAUUCACAAU